rnacentral:lncRNA from 1 species
CUUCAAGUAUUUAAUUUCAUUCUUGUAUAAUUGUAAAUUCCAUGCACAUCCAUAUUUCAUGUAGUAUAAAGGAAGAGACAUCGUACAUGAAACAUCCAACUAAAACGGUCUUCUCUCUAUUCGAACAUCAGUUUUCAAAGAUAAUGGUUUGAUAAUUGGUCACCCUUUGAAAACCUAUACAAGUUUCUGAACGCCAGCACUUCGCGUCUUGGUAUCCCAAAGACAGCAACUGUGGCAUCACGCUUCUCCGCGGGGAGUUGGCAUCUACCUGCAGCAAAAACUGAGAACCAAUUAGCACUACAGGUUCACGGUGGAGUUAUCAGAAGUGGAAGAUGGUUAUGAAUGGGUGGUUGAUGGAAGACUGGAACAAAGGUACAAAACAGGCGUGAUAUACACUUAUCUUAAAGGUUCCCAGCCGACGGUUCCUUGGGCUAAGAUCGUUUGGAUCUCUUACAGCAUCCCGCGGCACAACUUCCUUACUUGGUUGGUCCUAC